rnacentral:rRNA from 1 species
UAGGGAAUUUUCGGCAAUGGGGGGAACCCUGACCGAGCAACGCCGCGUGAACGAAGAAGUUAUUCGUAAUGUAAAGUUCUUUUAUCAGGGAAGAAAGAGAAAUUUGACGGUACCUGAAGAAUAAGCUCCGGCUAACUACGUGCCAGCAGCCGCGGUAAUACGUAGGGAGCGAGCGUUAUCCGGAAUUAUUGGGCGUAAAGGGUGCGUAGAUGGGUAAAUAAGUUUUUUGUAAAAAUGCUAGGCUCAACCUAGUAGGGCAAAGAAUACUGUAUAUCUAGAGUAUGGCAGAGGCAAGUGGAACUACAUGUGUAGCGGUAAAAUGCGUAAAUAUAUGUAAGAACACCGGUGGCGAAGGCGGCUUGCUGGGCCGAUACUGACAUUGAGGCACGAAAGCGUGGGGAGCAAACAGG